rnacentral:lncRNA from 1 species
GAACACAAUUAUCUACAUCGUUUAUCAGCAACAUGGUUUGGAAGUUAAGGGCCAAUGGAGACGUGCCUCCAAAUUACGGUAGUAGUUAUAUAUUUUUUGUUUAUUUGUUGCAUAACAUGUUUAAAUUAUUGGGUUCUGAGUUUAUUUGUUUAUUAUUAUAGAUAUUGUUGUUUAUGUGUAUGUUUUCUUGGUUAAUGUUGAUUAUUUUGGGGCAUCCAUGUUUUGAAUGUUUUACCCAAUACUUGUCGUAAGUGGUGUAUCUUCUUCCUAUAUUCAGAUCAAUCCAUGAAGUUUUCAUGACAGGUCUUCUUGAACAAAAGCAUGUCGCAUCCAUACGAAAUAGAAAUCAAAUCAAUAGAUAAAUUGGAAGAAGAAGAAGCAGUGGCAAUUCAAGAACGGGAAUUGCAAUAACAUAGAAGAGACAAAAAAAUUAGGGCUUAUAACAAUUAUAAAUGGAGGAAAAUUGGGGAUCCUAACGGUAACAAAGGAUAAGAUGGAACCAUGAUUAAAGUGUAUUGGAAAAGACGAAUUAACCCUUGUAUUCGCAUGUGCGAACCACAUGUGUGACAAUCCGAUCUUUUUUUUUUUUUUACAAAGAACAUCUUAUAAGUGGUGUCGUUCAACAACUAACUAAGUUCAGGUAAAAACGUACAAAUUUCGUAAGUUCGGGGUUGCCGUGCAAAACAUCCCAAAGUCCAGG